rnacentral:rRNA from 1 species
AUACGUAGGGUGCGAGCGUUAAUCGGAAUUACUGGGCGUAAAGCGUGCGCAGGCGGUUGUGUAAGCCAGAUGUGAAAUCCCCGGGCUUAACCUGGGAACUGCGUUUGUGACUGUAGGACUCGAGUGUGGCAGAGGGGGGUGGAAUUCCACGUGUAGCAGUGAAAUGCGUAGAGAUGUGGAGGAACACCGAUGGCGAAGGCAGCCUCCUGGGCCAGCACUGACGCUCAUGCACGAAAGCGUGGGGAGCAAACAGGAUUAGAUACCCUGGUAGUCCACGCCCUAAACGAUGUCAACUGGUUGUUGGGGGUUUGACACUCUCAGUAACGAAGCUAACGCGUGAAGUUGACCGCCUGGGGAGUACGGCCGCAAGGUUAAAACUCAAAGGAAUUGACGGGGACCCGCACAAGCGGUGGAUGAUGUGGAUUAAUUCGAUGCAACGCGAAAAACCUUACCUACCCUUGACAUGUCAGGAAGUCCGCUGAGAGGUGGAUGUGCCCGAAAGGGAACCUGAACACAGGUGCUGCAUGGCUGUCGUCAGCUCGUGUCGUGAGAUGUUGGGUUAAGUCCCGCAACGAGCGCAACCCUUGUCAUUAAUUGCCAUCAUUCAGUUGGGCACUUUAAUGAGACUGCCGGUGACAAACCGGAGGAAGGUGGGGAUGACGUCAAGUCCUCAUGGCCCUUAUGGGUAGGGCUUCACACGUCAUACAAUGGUCGGUACAGAGGGUUGCCAACCCGCGAGGGGGAGCCAAUCCCACAAAGCCGAUCGUAGUCCGGAUCGCAGUCUGCAACUCGACUGCGUGAAGUCGGAAUCGCUAGUAAUCGUGGAUCAGCAUGUCACGGUGAAUACGUUCCCGGGUCUUGUACACACCGCCCGUCACACCAUGGGAGUGGGUUCCACCAGAAGUAGGUAGUCUAACCGCAAGGGGGGCGCUUACCACGGUGGGAUUCAUGACUGGGGUGAAGUCGUAACAAGGUAGCCGUAUCGGAAGGUGCGGCUG